AGAGUUUGAUCCUGGCUCAGGAUGAACGCUGGCGGCGUGCCUAAUACAUGCAAGUCGAACGAGGUGCUUUGUAGCAAUACGGAGUAUCCUAGUGGCGAACGGGUGAGUAACGCGUUGGUGACCUACCCCAAAGUGUGGGAUAACAGUCCGAAAGGAUUGCUAAUACCGCAUGUGGUCUGCGAGUUUAGAAAUCGUUGACUAAAGGAGCAAUUCGCUUUGGGAGGGACCUGCGUCCCAUCAGCUAGUUGGUGAGGUAACGGCUCACCAAGGCGACGACGGGUAGGGGACCUGAGAGGGUGACCCCCCACAAUGGAGCUGAAACACGGUCCAUACACCUACGGGUGGCAGCAGUAGGGAAUAUUGGUCAAUGGGCGAAAGCCUGAACCAGCAACGCCGCGUGUGCGAUGAAGGCCUUCGGGUCGUAAAGCACUUUUCUGGGAGAUGAGAAAGGACAGUAUCCCAGGAAUAAGUCUCGGCUAACUACGUGCCAGCAGCCGCGGUAAAACGUAGGAGGCAAGCGUUAUCCGGAUUCACUGGGCGUAAAGCGCGUGCAGGUGGCUUGGUAAGUUAGGCGUGAAAUCUCCCGGCUCAACUGGGAGAGGUCGUCUAAUACUACCGGGCUUGAGAGCAGAAGAGGAAGAUGGAAUUCCCGGUGUAGUGGUGAAAUGCGUAGAUAUCGGGAGGAACACCAGUGGCGAAGGCGAUCUUCUGGUCUGUUUCUGACACUCAGACGCGACAGCUAGGGUAGUAAACGGGAUUAGAGACCCCGGUAAUCCUAGCCGUAAACGAUGUGAACUUGGCGUUGGUGGGUUAAACUCCAUCAGUGCCGCAGCAAACGCGAUAAGUUCACCGCCUGGGGACUACGGCCGCAAGGUUAAAACUCAAAGGAAUUGACGG
rnacentral:rRNA from 1 species